AUAAUGUCAAUUCAUAGGUGGUAGGGAGGGGUUCGGGGGAGGUCCUCCUCUCCUGAUACCGAGCUCGGUAGGGCUCGGAACCUUUGAUUAAAAAAAUAACUUUUAAGAGUUGAACCUAACUACCGAAAAAUGAUCGAAGGUAAUCUUUUCGAACUAGAAAGCUGCGAAGCAGACCUUAUGAAUUGAACCUAAUUUUUCUUUUUGCUUCUUUUUCUUUUUGACGAGUAUUAAGCACCAAAGAAAAAAAAGCAAAAGAAAAAUUGACAGGUUCCGAUACUAAAUCUAUAACAGUAUGGAGCCAUCGUUGCGUCGUUAGCAUGCUUGUGAUCUAGUCCUAUCCUUUUGGGAAGGAGGAUCGACAAGCGACUCUGUAGUUUCUGUCUCCCAACCCAUAGGUAAGGGCACGCCAACAGACUUCAGACAUCAAUGUCCGUCGUCUUGUACGGUCGUGGUCGAGUUAAGCCUAAAACGUAGAGUUUUCACUUAGUUCUUCCUUACUGGUAGAAUCCCUAAGUGACACCUCUAAGAGUGCUUAAGCAAGGUAACAUUCUUUUUUCAAACACGCCUUACUCCACACUGAAUUACCUCUCGAGAUCUAACUCAUAUUCUCUAUCUAAUCUCCCUUGUUCUCUAGCUUCGCUAGUCGGACUGGAUUAGGCAAAAAUCUCUUGAAUUAUGAGUUGGUUUUUGACUCUUUGAGGGUUCACAGGAUAAGAGCCUGUCGGCAAACAUGGGAACAUGCCUGAAGCUUGGUUCCCAGACGCGUAAGCUACUCAGAAAGCACCACACGACGAUGAUCUCGAAUAUCAUUAUACGAUUUUUCGUAAAAUGAGAAAUCGGUUUGGAUAUUAGUAGGAAGAUCUGACACCAAAGACCGAGCGAGUUGGUUUGUGGACCCAACUUGCGAGGUUACCCCCGAGCCUGAAGCGAGGGCACCGCAGCUACUUUCCAAGCAGCGAGGAUACAGUACCCUUCAGUAAUAUAUAAAAUAACUUAUUUAUUUAUAUAAACUUAUACUUAUAUAAAUAUAUACUUAUAUAAAUAGUUUUUUAUAUCUUAUUAUAUUUAGUAAAGGCUUAUCUUUCUAAAGAAAAAUGAGCUAUAUAGCAUUUUAGAUGAUCCCUAAUGGCAUACAUUAAAAGUAGUUAUAGAAGCUAUUCUGACGCUAAUCUGUGGCCAUAAAACACUUUUUAAAUUUGAUACAAGUGCCUAUACGGGCGUACACGCACACGCGCAUGCGUAAAGAGAUCCCCCUAUAGAAGAUACUCCUCUUACACAUAAUAGUAAGGGCGAGGGAUUUCCUCGGCUCUGAUUCUCCUCUUGUUAUAGUAUGGACCCUCAUUAUUUAUACUUCAUAGUAUAAAUAAUAUCAAUUCAUAGGUGGUAGGGAGGGGUUCGGGGGAGGUCCUCCUCCCCUGAUACCGAGCCCGAUAGGGCUCGGAACCUUUGAUUAAAAAAAUAACUUUUAGGAGUUGAACCUAACUACCGAAAAGUGAUCGAAGGUAAUCUUUUCGAACUAGAAAGCUGUGAAGCAGACCUUAUGAAUUGAACCUAAUUUUUUUUUGCUUCUUUUUCUUUUUGGCGAGUGUUAAGCACCAAAGAAAAAAAAGCAAAAGAAAAAUUGGCAGGUUUCAAUACUAAAUCUAUAACAGUAUGGAGCCAUCGUCGCGUCGUUAGCAUGCUUGUGAUCUAGUCCUAUCCUUUUGGGAAGGAGGAUCGACAAGUGACCCUAUAGUUUCUGUCUCCCAGNNNNNNNNNNNNNNNNNNNNAAGCAAAAGAAAAAUUGGCAGGUUUCAAUACUAAAUCUAUAACAGUAUGGAGCCAUCGUCGCGUCGUUAGCAUGCUUGUGAUCUAGUC
rnacentral:lncRNA from 1 species